rnacentral:tRNA from 1 species
UAAAGGGAGACCUAAUUCCGGUAGGAGACGAAAAAAAAGUAGUCCCUACCAAGAAUCAAUCCCAAAAGGUCGGAGCGAGGCAAGAUUGGCUUUCAAACUAGGUUCUGGGUUCACACAAGACCUGAAUCAGGAACAAGGGCUAUUAGCUCAGGUGGUUAGAGCGCACCCCUGAUAAGGGUGAGGUCCCUGGUUCGAGUCCAGGAUGGCCCACCUGCACAGGUGGCAAAAACAAAGAAAAGAAGCUCCGAAUCAGCACCUUAUCUUACUUAUAUAGUAAGAGAGAAUGCUGGCUCUGAGUUCAGA